UUAUCCGCUAACUGUGCUUGUUUAAAAUCUUGCGGUCUUAACAUUCCAGGAUAGGUAUAUGUACAAAUUUAUUGAUGUUUGUGUUCCUUUUAUCUUUUACAUAUUCUAUCUCUCAUUCCAAUAUAUUGAGGGGUUUUGUGAUGAUUGUUUUACUACAAUCAUUAACUUCUCCACUGAUUAUCCAUAUAUCUUUUGCCCAUUGCAUAACCUACAUAACUUUGGAACGGGGAAAGAAAUAUGUAUUCGAUUGCAUUCGGUUUUUGCCAUUUUGGUACAUACUACACUUCAUAUAGUAUAGUCUAGAUCCUUUGUAUUCCCACAAACCACAUUCAGACAUAUAUGUUGCAUUGCCUCCCUCCCCACAAAGUAUCUUCUUAGCCUCCACAUGUAACUCAUGCUUCAUAUAUGCCCAUUUAUACAGCGUCUGAAUGAACCGUAAACCUUCGUAAUUGUAGACAUUGACACUAAUUUUCAUAAAAUACACAAGACUUUGCCAAGUUAAAAGAGAUUAGUAUGGCCAAAUAAUAAACAAGACACACUUCCUCGUACUCUUUUGUUAAAGGUGGCCAUACUAUAUUACAUAUAGUAUAGCAUAGCGGUCGCAUCCGAUAUAAAAGUUACAGACUAUUUUAUGUACAGGUUUGGCAUAAUCCAAUUAAGCACAUAGAUUUUUUCUUUUGUCUGCUUUCACACGCACAUGCGGUUAUUAGGUUCUUUUUCGGCAAUUUUAGACCAAACCUGUCUUUUAUGUGGGCUUGUACUGUAGCAUGGCUAUAUUCUUCAUUUUGUUGGUCCUUAUGAAUAUCAGAAAAUUCCUCCCUAUAAUAUAUCCCAUAGAGUGGCUCGUGUUGUUUUUGAUCAGUUACAUUGUUUUGUCCUCCAACACCGUCGCCCCUCAUCAUCUCCUCUUCGUCUCUUCUGAUAUUCUAUUUUAUAAUCACAAUACAUUGUUUGUUGUACCAUUGUUAUGGUUCCUUUAAUUGUAACUUUUAUCCGCUAACUGUGUUUGUUUAAAAUCUUGAUGUCUGUGUCUUAACAUUCCAGGAUAGGUAUAUGUAGAAAUCUAUUUAUGUUUGUGUUCCUUUUAUCUUUUACAUAUUCUAUCUCAUUCCAAUAUAUUGAGGGGUUGCGUGAUGAUUGUUUUACUACAAUCAUUAACUUCUCCACUGAUUGUCCAUAUAUCUUUGACCCAUUGAAUAACCUACAUAACUUUGGAACGGGGAAAG
rnacentral:lncRNA from 1 species